rnacentral:rRNA from 1 species
GAGAGGACCGGAGUGGACGAACCUCUGGUGUUCCGGUUGUCACGCCAGUGGCAUUGCCGGGUAGCUAUGUUCGGAAGCGAUAACCGCUGAAAGCAUCUAAGCGGGAAGCGCGCCUCAAGAUGAGAUCUCCCGGGGCACAAGCCCCCUGAAGGAACCAUAUAGACUAUGUGGUUGAUAGGUCAGGUGUGUAAGUACAGCAAUGUAUUGAGCUAACUGAUACUAAUGAUCCGUGUGGCUUGACCAUAUAACCUCA